UUGUCCCUGAUGAUAUUUUGCGAAAAUCACCUCCCCUUUCUUCCGACAAACUACGCAGCCCUCCCUCCGUCUGCUUCUCUGCUCCGUCGCCUCGCCACGCGCCGGCCACCUGCUCCGUCGCCUCGCCGCCUGCUCCGUCGCCUCGCCGCAUGUCGGCCGCCUUCUCCCCCUCGUCUCGCCGCUUCUCUCCGUCCGCACUAGGAGAUCAAGAGGGAAGGGAUCCCCUUUUCUGUAAAGCUCGUGCCUUGUCGGCUCCGUCGACGGCGCUCGAUGACCCGCUCCUCGUCCUCGAGCACCUCCUCCAGACCUCGAGCUCCGGCGGCGGCGCUCGAUGGCCCGCUCCUUGUCCUUGAGCACCUCCUCCAGACCUCGAGUUCCGGCGGAGGUGGCGUGGGAAAGACGACCAGGGCAUGGGGAGGACGAAGACUUGCUCCAGCAGCUCGUCUUGCUCCUCGAGCUGGUGGGCUGAUGAUGGAGGACCUGCACUCUUGGCUCCACCAGCGCCGCCGCUGCCGCUUCUGCUCCCCGUUCGCCCACAUCGCAGAGAUUGGAGGAGGAAUGGAGUAUUGCAGAGGAAUGGAUGAUGCUUCUUUUGGUGCAGGUGAGCCAUGUAUUGGGAGUACGAGUACAGCACUGACAAAAUUCAGUUAGCCAUGGAGUACAAUAGAUGAACAUACAGUAUAGAUUCAGUUAGCCUUGCACUUUGCAUGCUUCCAGUAUUGGUGAACAUACAGUAUAAAUUCAGUAUAAACAGUAUUGGUGAUAAUUGAGUUCAAUUGGUGACAAAAUCACUACUUUGUGUACACAUUGACUGAAUUUAACUUGGAGUACAGGCACUACAUUGCUUCUCUGCUUACAAAAUUCAGAUUGAAUUUCACUAUCAAAAGAAAAGAAGUGAAGAUUAAAUGCACAACACUUCAAUUGUGUGCUCAGUAAAAUUACCAAGUUCAGUAAAAUUCAGUCUAUGAAUUCAGAUUACUGUGUGCUCAAUUGUGUGCAUCGCUGGGACAAUUUACUGUUCAUGAAUUGGAGUAGAUCUCUGCUUUCAUGUUUUAGGUAGCAUCAUCCAUGGAUGCAUUCACUAUUUCAAUCAACUCCUGAAGAUUGGAUUCAGUACAAAAUUCAGUUAACUACUAUAGAAAAGAGAGAUUCCAAAUUAAUCAAUUUAAUUCAGUAGAAUUUUUUUCCACCUAGUCCCCCUGUUUCCAGGUCAAGACCUUCACCCUGCGCUCAUCAUGUAAGCCACUUUGUAAUCUUAUUGUGCUGUCUUUUCUCUGUCUUUCUGUCAGGAAGGAUUUGGGAAUGUUUUCAGAGAUGUUUUCCUUCUCUCAUUUUAGACCAUGAUCAUUUUAAUGCUACAGUUCAGAAACAAGGAAAUUUAGUUGAUGAAAGCACAUUCCAUGAACAUCAAGGAAAUUUUAGUAAACUGCAGUAGGAUUUUUCCAUGUUAGUGCUUGCAAAAUUUGUCGCUGUCAACUGAAACAUGAGUGUAUGUUUUCAUUUUCCAAGCUAGUGCUUGCAAAAUUUGCAAGCAUUGUUCUUUUAUUUUAUUUCUUUGUACAAUAUGGCAGUAGAGACCAUGCCAGUAGAGACCACAACAGUAGUGACCAUGACAGUACUGAACAUAUGCUCCCCUGAAUUUUUUAUGCUCCUACUCCACUUUAUGAUUUUUUUUAACUGCCAAAUGACAAUUUACUGAAGAUGCAGAGAAGAUGCUAGUAGUAUCUCUCACAAGUUAACUUAAUCUUGGAAAGUUCACUUUAUGUGCUCACAUUCGAUCGUGUGUAAUAGUUCUACGAAGGUAAUCUUGUAGAGAAUAGGCUUAAGAACCCUGCUUUUAUACAUAGUUUAAUUUUAUGCUCAAUAGACCAGCAACAUGACUCUACUUCUGUAUGUUGUGUAAUUAAUUAAUCCAGAGUAAGAAUCUUGGAAAGUUGGAAGGCCUAUCUGCAUGAAGAAAAACUACAAGUGAAUGCCCACCAUUUUGAAAGCUUUUCCUCCUGUGGGUGCUCUGACAGCUCAAAAAAAAAGUGAUGACAUAUUAAAUUCCUUAAUAAUGUUCUUUUAUCUUGAGGAAAUUGACAGCAACAGUAGAUCAGAAAUUGCUUCUACUCUAGAGUACUCUCACCGGCAGCAUGAUCAAUUGUGUUUGAAAUUAAUGAACAAGUGCAAGGAUCAGAAAAUGGAGCUUCUUCUCACCGGCAGCAUGAUCAAUUGUGUUUGAAAUUAAUGAACAAGUGCAAGGAUCAGAAAUUGGAGCUUCUUCUCACCGGCAGCAGCACAAGCAGGGUAGCUCCGGUCAGCAGCACGAGCAAGCCCGCCUGGGAGGAGCAGCAACUUAUAGACGAGCAGCAGGUCUAGGAGAGGAGUGGGGGAGACGACAGGGGCCUCGAGGUUGAGGAUGAGCUUCAAUUCCAGGCCCGCCGGGAGCUCCAGGUCCAGGCGCUCGAGACCCAGGCGCGCGCAGGUCCUGGCGGCGGCGCAGGCCCUGGCUGGCGGGAGGGGAUAGCGGCGCAGCCCUAGGAGGCAGAAGGGGUGACGGCGGGAGAGGAUGGCGGCGGUGCAGCGCCAUUCAGCCGUGGAGCCGCCGCCCGUCGAGGUGGUCGCCGCGGAGGAGCAGGUGGACGGCGCAGGUGGGCGCGGGCGGCGUUGGUUCACAGCGGUAGUGCAGCUCGCCUCGGGUGGCGUAGGUGGGCACGGGCGGCGGUGGUUCACAGCGGCGGCGCAGGUCGUGGCCGUCGUCACGCGCUCGGCCCUACGACGGGUGCCGACGGUGGCUUGGGCGGCGGACGGAGAAAGCAGGAAGAAGCAACCGGGGGCUGAUUAGCAACAGAUUUGAAGAUGAAAGGUUUUUUUUGCAAAUUUGAAAAUGGACUAAGGGCUGGACAACUUUUCCCGGACGGAGGGAGUACAUUACAAAUAUAUAGGAUUUUUUUUGCAAAAUCAUCAUGGUUUAAGAGCAGUUUUGAAAAAACCGUUUUUUUCAAAACCGAAAACGCGAAUCAUAUUUUGGACUCACUUUUCAAACGGUUUGUCGGAAUUGAGCAAAUAAGAUGGCGUUGGAAAGCCGGUAAAAAUCUGCAUCUUCCAUAUAUCUAUUGUUUUUCAAAUUCUAUACAAUUUAAAAGUAAUUUGAAAAAUUGUAAAAUUCUGGGCGAAAUGUAUUUUCACUUUUUUUGCAAAACGGUUUGUCGGAUUGACGCAAAUGAUACGGCGCUGGAAAGCUAUGGAAAAUGCAUAACUUUUUUGUAUUGAAAUGUUUUUUUAAUUCCUUACGGUUUAAAAACGAAUUCGAAUACGGUCAAAUUUGAUUUCGAACGCGAUUUUUUUAAAAGUUUGUCGAAAUGGGGCAAAUAAUAUACCGUUGAAACGCUACCGAAAAUGGGAAACUUAGUCGUGUUGAACGUUUUCUCAAAUUCGCAACCGUUGAAGAGUAAUUUGGAAUACGGUGAGACACGUCGUGUUGUUUUUCCGUCAGAAAAAACAGAAUACUUGUACGGAUUUACAUGUGCGUUUGUACUGAUAUAUUUUUCAUAUAGUAAUUUAGAAAAAUUUCAGAAAAAGAGUACUUGAACGGAUCUCCGUAUGGAUUGGUACUGAGCGUAUUUUCACGUACUAGACUUUACUCUGUUUUUUCUGUAUGGUUUUUUCUCGUAACUUUUCAACCGUUCACGGUGUCCUCGUCCCGAACUUGUAUGGUUUAUAUCGUUGAACUGAAUGACAAUUUUUUUAAAAAAAAUGUUUUGUGUGUGUUUUUUUAACUAAUUUUUUUUAAUGAUGUUCUGGACUUCUCUCAUUUUACGACUUGAACUUUUACCAUUUGAAUUUUCGUGGGGUUUCAUUUUUUUUAGCUUUUUUCUCAAACUUAUCUAGGACGUCGUGUUGAACUUACAACUUUUUAAAUUGUAAACUUGUUGUGUUUUUACAAUUCCAAAGCUAGCAAAAAAAAUUCUAAGUUACUGACUCAUUUCAGGAUAUCAGAGAUAAAAAUUGCCAUCACCAAAAUCAAGCAUUAAUCCGAUCAAAGAGAUGAAAUACAUUGACUUAACUUCCAAAAGAAAUACAUGUCCUAUGGCCAACGUAAAGACAUGUAGAAGAAUUUAUUAGCAAAAUGAACUGUAGACAGUUGGGAUUAGUAGCAAAAUGAACUACCAAAAUUCUCUAACCAGUACUAUAGAUAUUAGCAAAUUGAACUUCUAGUAAUUCAUUCCAUCGGCGACGCGAGUUUUUGAAGUCUUUCUCUGCACAAACUUUGA